rnacentral:rRNA from 1 species
UACGGAGGAUCCGAGGCGUUAUCCGGAUUUAUUGGGUUUAAAGGGUGGCGUAGGCGGCCUAUUAAGUCAGGGGUGAAAGACGGUAGCUUAAACCUGAUCGCAGUGCCUUUGAUAACUGAUAGGCUUGAAUGUACUUGAGGUAAGGCGGAAUGUGACAAGUAGCGGUGAAAUGCAUAGAUAUGUCACAGAACACCAAUUGCGAAGGCAGCUUACUAAAGUAUGAUUGACGCUGAGGCACGAAAGCGUGGGGAUCAAACAGG